ACAAUCUGUAGACUGUCGUCGAGUCGCAUCCAAGUUGCCUCGUUGUUUUGAUAGUAACUGAGAGAUUUUUGAAAGGGAGAAUAAAAAAAGAGAGAGGACAGUAACCUGUUAGAUAAAAACCUAAACAUCAAUAAAUGUCCUAACAGCGAACAAUAAAUAUGUACCCAACAGCACUAACCCAAACCUUCCUCAUUAAAUUCAUCUCAAUCCAUUAACAGAAUCUGAUGUUCAGCUAAAUAAACAUCUAACAUG
rnacentral:lncRNA from 1 species